rnacentral:lncRNA from 1 species
UUUCAGCUGUGCAUCCAUUAAGUAUAGUUGCAUGUAUUACACAUGCAUUCUGUUCAAUGGUGUUCAUUUAAAAAAAAAUGAAAGAAAUUAAUUUUUGUAGCUUUUCUGCCUUCAUUUGUUUAAUCUAUGGGAUUUGUUCUAAAUCCUUUCUGGAGGAUCAUGGAUUAUUUUUAAUUUUGGGGCCCCCUUUGUUUUUUCACAGUAAUGUUUCCUUUUUGUUUAUUUACAAGGUAUGCACAGAAUGAAUUCUGUAAGAGGAGCAAUGUACAUGUCUUAAUGGGGAAAAGAUGAUUGGUGAGGAUGCAGGUAUGUUUGUGUAGUUCAUGGUGGCUGUAGUUUUCUUAGUGAAUUAAAGGGAGAAUUAUCACAUGAAUCUAGAGCAUGGCUGGAAAAGAUAUGAUGUUUUAGUAAACCAAAGACAAGAUAUGGUAGUCUUAUGAAAACUUAAAAACCUUUAGACAAUGUUAAAUGCCAAUUUAAGGUUUGUAACCACUAGUUCAUAGUGAAAGCAGUCAAUCCUGCCUUGUAGAUUUUUUUCCCAGCAAUGUACAGCUACCAAUAAGAAUAGAUGCUGAGUUCAUCCAAAGUUGAGGCAUUUGUAUGUUGGAGAGAAAUCAAGAUGAAUAAUAUAAGCAAAUGUACAGGAGAGAUUUUGAUGAACCAAUCAAAACUGUGCAAGAAGAGUGUGGUAAAAGGGGACCAAGGGAUGGUGAAUAAAUUUUGGGGGUUAAUUGAUUGACAGCUUGUUCAAGUCAAAACAUUUUUCUUGGGCUGUGGGGUGCUUCAACAGAUGAACUGUAAGUUUAAGAGGUAGUGGGUAUAAGAUACCUGAAAUCAUCAGAGGUUUAGAGUCAAGAAAGUAUAAAGCCAGAGGAAUUGUCUGAGUGAAUGGUAAGAUCUUGGAGGUUUCCCUUGAUAGCCUAUCAAAUCAUGCAUGUCUUGACACCCCAUCUUUCACUUCAGAUGUGUCUUAUGCUGCCUCAUCUUAUCUCAGUAAAUUUGAGUCACUUGGGUCUUCUCUUAGUUCUUUCCUUUCUUGGAGCAUUCACACUAGAUGCUGGUUUUAUUAUGUAAAUUCCCAUCUUAAAGACGUUCUAUGAUCUGCCUCCCUCACCCAUAUUCUACCCACACAUUUUACAUCUCUCCUUUCUUUGUCUCUCAAUUUAUGUUGUAUCAAAAGCAUGUUUUUCCACAUCAUAUUAUAUUCCUCGAUACUCAUACCACAUAUCAUUCUUCAUUGUUAUAAUUAUGUUUUAAAUAUUUUUAGACAUUAAUGGGCCUUUGUUUUAUUUAUUUACAUGUGGUGCUGAG